rnacentral:antisense_RNA from 1 species
UGUAACCAAAAAUAACGGCUGGGCUAACAGUUGGGUUUGUAAUUAAACGUACAUCACCACCACCUGGGGCCCAAGUAUCAUAAACUCCACCAAAAUAUAAUGCUUUCCAAACUAAAAGCCAAGCUCCAAUUCCAAGAAUAACAAGAUGUAUUCCAAGAAUAGUAGUCAUUUUAUUUUUAUCUUUCCA